rnacentral:rRNA from 1 species
GAUGAACGCUGGCGGCGUGCCUAAUACAUGCAAGUCGAGCGAACAGACGAGGAGCUUGCUCCUCUGACGUUAGCGGCGGACGGGUGAGUAACACGUGGAUAACCUACCUAUAAGACUGGGAUAACUUCGGGAAACCGGAGCUAAUACCGGAUAAUAUAUUGAACCGCAUGGUUCAAUAGUGAAAGACGGUUUUGCUGUCACUUAUAGAUGGAUCCGCGCCGCAUUAGCUAGUUGGUAAGGUAACGGCUUACCAAGGCGACGAUGCGUAGCCGACCUGAGAGGGUGAUCGGCCACACUGGAACUGAGACACGGUCCAGACUCCUACGGGAGGCAGCAGUGGGGAAUCUUCCGCAAUGGGCGAAAGUCUGACGGAGCAACGCCGCGUGAGUGAUGAAGGUCUUCGGAUCGUAAAACUCUGUUAUUAGGGAAGAACAAAUGUGUAAGUAACUAUGCACGUCUUGACGGUACCUAAUCAGAAAGCCACGGCUAACUACGUG